rnacentral:lncRNA from 1 species
UAAGGUAAUAUCUUAAGGUACUUGAUUAUCACUUUUAUAAGCUUCUCUUUGGUUUUAGUGUUCACAUGAAUAAAAGAGACAAACAUGUAUGAUUUACAACUCUAGAUUAACCAACCCAAUCGAUUCAAUAUGUUUAGUCCUUCCACCGUUGUGAUCCCACACUCCUAAUCAUAUGAGCUAAAAUGUUGCACACGCAAUCUUUGGAAGAUAUAUAUAAAAAAACAUAAGUAUAGAUAGAUUAUCUUUCCAUUAGGUUGAGCGAUCUGAUCUGACAAAUGAUUUAAAUGCUACACUCAUGAUCUUAUUAUCCAUCAACUUCAUCUUGCUCACUAUGCUUAAGGUUAGAGAAGAGCAAAUACACUUUUGGUUCUGUUGGUGUUUUCCACCAACAGGGCCCAUGCACUUGAUCUCUGCCUUGUCUCUAUGAGCAGGUACACUUCGAGCAAAACAUGGAGGAGUUUUACAGCUUCCAGACUGCACCAAAUGAAGGACCUGGAUCUACGAGCACAAACAUACUGAGCAGGAUGAUGCCAACGCCGCACUUCGAACUGCUGGGCAAACGAAGAACAUGGGUGACACCGUAUCAAGAGGUGCAGACGUCAAGGUCCACACCUGAAUCAAAUGAUGCACCUAAAGAAUGAACAUGGUGAGAAGUCUUGUUCAAAAGACAUAAAACAUUGAACCCUCGCCGAAAGGUAAAAUCGGUAGUUAUCUAUAUUUAUCCUUUCUGCAUUCCCUUUUCCCUUAAAUUAUUUACUUUCAUUAAAUGGCUUGUUAGUUAAUCAUGCUAUCUUGAAAAGAAAAUAAAACUGUUAAAAAAAGGUAAGCCCCAUGUGAGUAUGCUCAUGGCAUAAAACCCAUAAGUACAUUCAAUGUGGUGGCGAAAAAAUAAAAUAAAUAUACUCCUGUCCUAUAAAAAUGAAAAUAUAAAAAUAAGAUUAUGAUCCUACUAAAGAGAGUAACAUUUAUUGAGGAGGCUCAACAUGAUAAAGGCUAGAUAUUUAUGUUAACACUUAACUAGUUCCACAAAGCUUUGUUUUGUCUAUUUGAGCUCCACAGAAUUCAAGGAUCAAAGAAGACUAGCAGACGGAGGACAUCCUAAUCGCUGUUAGAGUGCUGCCAACAUUCAAAUACACCUCCGCCACUUGCUAGCUACAUCAGAAGAAAUUACGUCAAAAUCCAGCUUGGGGGAGAGCACCCCCAUUUAUCCAGCUAAGUGUUCUACUCACGUUUAUACUUUACUCAAAUAAUAAAAAGAUGCAUAAUCAUAAAAACCCAAAUAAAGAUUUUGUGCUUAUAUAUAUAUAUAUAUAUAUAUAUAUAUAUCUUUGCUUAGUUUGCUAAAUAAAUACAUAAAUAAAUAAAUAAAGUUUGCUAUGAACCCUCAUGAUAAGCUCUCACAUGGAAAUGAUGAAUAGUUGCUCUACCAUGACUAGUUUUCAAAAUUGAAAUCUCUCUCAAGUUUAGGCAUGACUGUUAUUAAUUAAGAUUUUCUCUAAACCUGAACUUGUGGGAAGAGUACUUGAUCUAAAGUCUAAGUCGUUAACGGAUAUGAUAUGGGAAGGUUGAGCUGCUGUUUAUCUGUUCCUAGAGAUGCUAGAAUUCUGGAGAAUUUUAUGUUUGAAAAUCUUUAAAAUGUUGUAUGAUGAGUUCCUGUAUGAUGAGAGUUUAAAAUCCUACCACAACCAUAUAUACAUGCUUAUUAGACUAUGAACCAUACAUUUAAUUUUUACUGCUUAUGAGAAUUGAGUGUGGUCAAGUUGUGUAGACCCUUAGGAGCUUGUCAUGCGGUUAAAAUCAAGAUUCACUUGCCGUUCACUCAUGCAUGGUGCUUCUACUCCGGAAGUACGCAUCCACAUACAUCCACUCAUUUCCAUAUCUAGAUUCACCCAAAAUUAAUCUACUCCUAUCUAGGAGAGAAUAGCCAAAAACUUUAUCCUAUCCCUGUUAUUUUCCGUGAAAUAAAUGCUCAAGAUCUUUUGGUUACUACCACUUGCUAUAUUAUUCCAGGAGGGUGAGUGCUCUGAAAAAAAGUGAAUACGAGGAAAUAAAAAGGGGCAACUGCCCAAAACCUCGAAAAAAAAGAAAAGAAAAAGUGAGACGAGAGGUAAAAAUGGACAAGUGUCCGACAGUAGAAUUAGGGGUACAAGAUACCCAUCUGAGAGAAAAGAAAAAUAAAAUAUAGAGCAUCUCAUUCCCCUCAAAAGCCUCAAGUGCAAGGAAGGUAUGUACCCCCUCAAAAGAGCAAAAGUAGAAUUAGACUUUCACCAUUAUUUUCACCAUUAUCACCAUUCAUUCGCCACACAUGCACAUCUUGAUUUGACUUAUUGACUUAUUCUUCUAGAUCCAUGGUUUGACUAUGCAAUAAAUGUCUUGUAAGUAUGUAUUAGCUGUCUCCCACCUAUGAGCUCCAGAUAUCAAAACCUUAUUAGAGUAGGGUGAGAGAGAAGGCAAUGCCACUAUGCCUCAUACCAAAAAUACCAUAUACUUUGAGACAAGGCAUACACCUUUACUGCCUUGGUAAGGAUCCAGAAAUACCACAAAAGAGAGACUAGAGAGAGUCAUACAAGGAAUCUCUGAGUUUUAUUUGAAAAUCUGCAAAAACUCCAGAGCUAUAGUUAAUCGAAGAACAAGAGACAUGACGCUUGACCAGACCGUCUAUCUUUUAACUGCUCAAGACACAAGUGACAGUUGCAAGCCCCAUAGUGAAAGGAAAAAUGAGUAAGUUUAAAUCUUAACAGUUUACCCUAACCCAGGGAUGAGAUCUUGUUUGAACGCAUGUGUACCUUUAAGGCAUGAAACCACUGCAGAAACUUUUGAGUCCAUCCUUGCUGAGGGAUGAGCAAAGGUUAAGCUUGGGGGAGCUUGUUGACGGUCCUUAAUGCUCACAUUUAACCAUCAACUAAUCACGGAAAAGGAUCCAAAUGCAACCGACACCUAGAAUUAGAGUUUUAUCUGACAGAAUUCCACGAGUUUUGGUGUUUGUCUAUUUCUGCAGGGGGUUAUCAGGAAAUAUGGAGGAAAUGCCCACACAUUGGGUUUACAUAGAGAUAUUAAUGUGUGCGCCAAUUUUCUAUCAUCUAGAAGACUCCAGAAGCCACGGGAACAAACAGGAGGCCGAGCGGGCCCGGGGGCAGGGCGCCCGCCCUGCCAUGGUGACCAAUCAGGGCAGGUCUCGCGGAUCGUGCUCCACCGCCUUUGAGGAUCAAGAAUAACCGUGCAAUUAAGGUCGGUUUGAUCCGAAGGCCCAUAUUCAUUUGGAGGGGCCAUAUAAGCUGGCCCCCUUGGCCCCUGGAGGCAUACCUCUUCUACAGAGUCAAAGCUAGGGUUUUAAUUAUUCAUCCAAGUAGAGAGGAUCCCUCUAGUACAUCUAGUUCUAGUUCUAGUUUAUCUAGUUCUAGUUCUAGUUAGUUCUAGUUGUAAUCUAGAAAAUAGAGAGA